CUCAUCUCAAAAAAAGAAAAAGAAGAAAAAAUUAGGAUAUUUUAAUUUUAAUUUGAUUUAUUUAUAUAUUUAUCAUUUAUUUAUUUGAGACAAGGUCUCACUCUGUUGCCCAGAGCACUCAAGCAAUCCUCCCUCCUCAGCUUCCCGAGUAGCUGGGACUACACACACAUGCCAUUGCCCCCAGCUAAUUUUAAAUUUUUUGUAGCGAUGGCAUCUCUCUAUGUUGCCAAGCCUGGUUCAAACUCCCAGCCUCAAACUGUCCUCCCAAAGUGUUGGGAUUACAGGUGUGAGCCACUGCACCCAGAAAUUUAUAAUCUUAUUAAAGUGUUUGUACCAUGUCUUAUCUCUUUAAACCUACUGUGCUUUGACCCUUCUUUCUGCCUGUCUCCUGGUCAGGCUCCUCCUGCUGGACCCUCCAGCCCCGGGCCUCAGGAGCCGGAGAAGGAGGAGAGGAGGGUCUGGACUAUGCCUCCUGUGGCCGUGGCCCUGAAGCCUGUAUUGCAGCAGAGCCGGGAAGCAAGGGACGAGCUACCUGGAGCACCUCCUGUUCUUUGCAGUUCCUCCUCAGAUCUUAGCCUCCUGUUGGGCCCCUCUUUUCAGAGCCAGCAUUCUUUCCAGCCCCUGGAGCCCAAACCAGACCUCACUUCAUCCACAGCUGGGGCCUUCUCUGCACUUGGGGCCUUCCAUCCCGAUCAUAGGGCAGAAAGGCCAUUCCCUGAGGAAGAUCCUGGACCUGACGGGGAGGGCCUCCUAAAGCAAGGGCUGCCACCUGCUCAGCUGGAAGGCCUCAAGAAUUUUUUGCACCAG
rnacentral:sRNA from 1 species